GAUUCCAGGGCCGUCCCCAUACCCCGUUCGGUAUGGGCGCCAAAACCAUGAACCUCAAUACCCCGUCCGGUAUGAGGGUGAAACGGGUCAUCCCCAUACCUCGUCCGGUAUGGGCGCCAAAACACAUAAGGUCUCCAUACCCCGUCCGGUAUGAGAGACCACGUUCCCGGUAGGGUUCCCUACGGACCCGGUCCAUCCACCAUCUCCCAGGAUAUCUAGUCAGGCUCUCCACAUUAUCCAUUUAUCAAUU
rnacentral:lncRNA from 1 species